CAGCCUACACUGACCGAAGCACUCUGUCUCAAGUUCCUCCAAGUUCUCAAUGCAAGGCAACAUCCCUGUGUAUUUCAAAGAAAGAUCAAUGCUAAAAGGAAUAGAGGCAAAUGAGAAAUUUGGCUUCUAACCAAAAAAAAAAAAAAAGACGAUGACGAUGAUGACUUGACAAAAAAAGUUCUGAGAUUUUAAUGUGACAGAAUGGAAUCCUAGAAAGAAAAGCUCAAUGUGACACGAAGAGGCAGGAGCAGCCUGAGAGCCAGCAUCAAGAAAUAUUCAUCCGCUUCCUACUCGGAGAAAAGCUGCAGAAACACAGAACAACUCUCAUCCAUAGGCUUUUUCUCCAAGGUCAUCAGAUUCAUUCAGCCCAUGACAGUGGCUGGGAAUAUUCAAUAUGGCUGAAUAAGUGGAUGGAUAAAUGAGCAAACACAGGCCCCCAUUUUGUCUUAGCUGCCAGAAUCUCCCCAGGUGUUAGCUGAAGGGUUUGCCUUAAGAUGAACAUUUGAGAAGAGUCUUCUACUGAAAAAUAGGAAGUAAUCCCAAGAACAACACACCUUGAUUUUUCACAGAGUCCCUUUUUCCUUGCCAAGAAUCUCAGAGCACUUUGGAGGGCACCCGAUUUCCAACGAGUAGUAGCUGGAUAGGAGGCGCUUCCAGAGCCUCUUGGAAUUUCCUGAAGGAAGAUAAAGGCUGCGAAGGGGUCAUCAAAGGCCAGACACACUGUGUAAAGUCUGUAUUCCUGCAUAUUUUGCAGACAGGAAAAAGAAAGAACAAAAACUUCACAGUUGGGAAUAGAAAAUACCUCAUGGAUAUGGGUUUUAUUGCAAGCUCUGCGUCUGAGUUAAAGAUGUUAAUGCUGAAUUCGCCCACCAAGAUCAAAACUCCUACAAAACUCUUCCAGCUGCAGCAUUUAUGGCUCCAGGUUUUGUUUCAGAAAACUUGACCCUCUGUGAAAGUACUCUGAAGAAUUUUUAAGGUGAGAAUGACGUAACUAGGUUUGGGUUUUAAGAAGUAUUGCUGAACAUCUCUGCAGAAGGUGAGCUGGAGGAGAAGAAGAAAGAAAGCAAGGAGAUAAGUUUCAAAACAACUACAAGAAAUGAUGAGACCUGCACCAAGGCAUCACUGGAAGUUGGAGAGGAUAGAAGAAUUUGAAAAAUGAUUUGGGAACUAGAACUGGUAGUGCCACGUGACUAUUAAAGAUAAGAGGUGAGGCAAGGAGGGCAGCCUCGAACAGCUCCCAGGUGUCUAAUACCCAGGAGAAUACUGUGCUUCCAACAAUAUACGAAAUACAAACAAAUAUGAAACUGUUCACCAUAAACACAGUCACAUGUAUGUAUAAUAAAAGUUCUGAGCUAAA